rnacentral:pre_miRNA from 1 species
UUAACUCAAAUUUGUAUGGAGUUGGAACGUUUGCCUAUGUUUGCCGCUGUUCCAACUGCAUACAAAUUCGAGUUA